rnacentral:rRNA from 1 species
GUGGGGAAUAUUCCGCAAUGGACGAAAGUCUGACGGAGCAACGCCGCGUGAGUGAUGAAGGUUUUCGGACUGUAAAGCUCUGUUGUUUAGGACGAAAGUGCCUGUUGCAAACAGUUACAGGUAUUGACGGUACUAAACGAGGAAGCCACGGCUAACUACGUGCCAGCAGCCGCGGUAAUACGUAGGUGGCAAGCGUUGUCCGGAAUUAUUGGGCGUAAAGAGCAUGUAGGCGGGAAUCUAAGUCUGUUGUGAAAAUGCGGGGCUCAACCCCGUAUUGCGAUGGAAACUGGGUUGCUUGAGUGCAGGAGAGGAAAGGGGAAUUCCCAGUGUAGCGGUGAAAUGCGUAGAUAUUGGGAGGAACACCAGUGGCGAAGGCGCCUUUCUGGACUGUGUCUGACGCUGAGAUGCGAAAGCCAGGGUAGCGAACGGGAUUAGAAACCCGAGUAGUCC